CUGCUCCUUCAAGGUCAGCUACCCUCUGAUCAUCGUCCGAGGCCCUGGUCAUUGACAGCCACACCAUGCCAAUCUCUGCCAUCAUGCCGAAGCCAGCUCGUUUGUCUAUCGAGGUGGCUCGACCACCACCUUCCAAGGGAUCACAAUCGAAGGGGUUUUCUCCAGUGCCCCCUCCAAAUCAAGCAAGGCACCUUGGCCAGCCGACUAGCACCCGAAGCCAUCAAAUAAUCCGCCAUCCACCUC
rnacentral:lncRNA from 1 species